rnacentral:rRNA from 1 species
UACGAAGGGGGCUAGCGUUGCUCGGAAUCACUGGGCGUAAAGGGUGCGUAGGCGGGUCUUUUAAGUCAGGGGUGAAAUCCUGGAGCUCAACUCCAGAACUGCCUUUGAUACUGAGGAUCUUGAGUAUGGGAGAGGUGAGUGGAACUGCGAGUGUAGAGGUGAAAUUCGUAGAUAUUCGCAAGAACACCAGUGGCGAAGGCGGCUCACUGGCCCAUAACUGACGCUGAGGCACGAAAGCGUGGGGAGCAAACAGGG